rnacentral:rRNA from 1 species
AUGCCUACGCCACCGCUCCCUCCUGCCUCGCGCAGCUCCCCUGGCCCCCUUGCCUGCCUCCCAAAUCUCCCCUCUUUCACCUCCAAAGUCGUUUCUUCUUCCUCCCGCUGCGUCUUCUGCUUGCGCGCGGCGGCGACACCUCCUCCUCGUUGCCCCCGACGCCGGAGGAGGCACGGGGCAAACAGCAGUGUCUCGCGCUGCACUUGCGCCACCUCGGGUGCGCGUGGGCCUAUUCGCCGGUCGCCACCUCGGCCGUGCGCCAAUCUGCAAAGGAGGAGGAAGGGGAUUCCGUUCGCCACCAAGGCGUACUGGGUAUGCUCCUCGAGUCCCCGCUCUUCAGGCCCCUCCUCACCUCCCUCAUCAAGAAGCAGAACAACAUGA